UGCCCAGGAACUCCUAUCCCUACCUCCACGCGGUACCGGCCGGAAGCUAUGAGCAACCUUAGGGAAGAUCGGGUAACCAACCCCGGUGGGAACUUUGGUCGUAGGCUGACAGGGAAGG
rfam:Aedes albopictus isolate Foshan contig39098, whole genome shotgun sequence.